rnacentral:lncRNA from 1 species
ACCGGUGCCGGGUGCGGGUUGCAGGUCGUUGUCUCCGCGUUUAUAUCCGUAAAAAUCGGGAAUUUCGGGAAAUAAAUCAAACAAGCAAAGUGAGGUGCAGUUGUGUAGUGAAAGUAAAAGUACAAGUGAAGUAAAGUGUUUAGUGCAGAAAAAGUGUGGGUUCCAGAGCGGCUGCGGCUUUGGCGAUAUGGAAAAAAGGCGAAAAUGGCAGCUUGGCGAAUAUGGCGAAAAAUGGCAGCUUGGUAGAAAAGUGAAGUGUGUGUAGUGCAAAGUAGUGAAGUGAUGUGUAGUGCAGUGUAGUGAAGUGAUGUGCAGUGUAGUGAUGUUGUGAUUAACUGAAAAUUAACAAACAAGUGUGUGUUUAGUGCAAGAAAAUGUUUAUUCUCCAAGGCAGCAGAGGCGGCGGCGAAUUGGCAAAAAGGCGAAAAGGCAACAUGGCGAAUAUGGCGUUAUGGCGAAAAAUUGCAGCUUGGCAGAAAAGUGAAGUGUUGUGGUCUAAUAUGUUGGCGAAGAAAGCCUCAAAAUGGUAUCAAAUCGUAGCUUGGCAAUGUGUGGAAGUCAUUAUCUAAAUAAGCAUAUUAAAUUGUGCGUAUAUUCUUUUUUUUCAUGUGUAAAGUCAUUGCCUUAGUUCCAGCAAAGUGUGUGUGUGCAAAAAUUUUGCAAAAAAGUCGCUAGGUUUGUCCCUUUCCCCUCCAGCAUAAAAUAGCGUAGUAAAGAGAGUGAAAAAGGAAUGAGCGUUACAAGUGAUGUGAGUGAUAGGGUGAGGCAUUUCAAAUCUGCUGAUCUGACUCUCUCUCAUUUUGUGUGUUCACACGAACUUACGUCCACUUAUGCCUCACCUUCAAUUAAUAUCCCCAAAAUGUGCUCUCUUAUUGGAAAUUUCGUGCGUUUCGUUUUCGGUUUGCGGUUUUCGUUGCGGGUUUCGUCGUCGAAGUCGUCGUGCGGUGUCUUUCUUCUCUCUUUUCAGCUUGUCAGAG